rnacentral:rRNA from 1 species
UACGUAGGGGGCUAGCGUUAUCCGGAAUUACUGGGCGUAAAGGGUGCGUAGGUGGUUUCUUAAGUCAGAGGUGAAAGGCUACGGCUCAACCGUAGUAAGCCUUUGAAACUGGGAAACUUGAGUGCAGGAGAGGAGAGUGGAAUUCCUAGUGUAGCGGUGAAAUGCGUAGAUAUUAGGAGGAACACCAGUUGCGAAGGCGGCUCUCUGGACUGUAACUGACACUGAGGCACGAAAGCGUGGGGAGCAAACGGG